ACUGCACACAAAUAAACAAACCCAAAGGUCAUUAGUUUCCUGUGGUGAUUUACGCUGUGUGCGCGCAAAGAAAAUGUAAGGACCUUGUUGCCUUUUAUAGGCUGUGUUUGUGCCAAUAAAAGUGAAUUCAAGGUACGACAUUC